CGCGAAUGGCUCAUUACAACAGCUAUAAUUUACUUGAUCUUGACUUCCUACUUGGAUAACUGUGGUAAUUCUAGAGCUAAUACAUGCACCAAAGCUCCGACCUUACGGGAAGAGCGCAUUUAUUCGAACAAAACCAAGCGGCUUCGGCCGUUCGCAGUUGACUCAGAAUAACUAAGCUGAUCGCAUGGUCUUGAACCGGCGACGUGUCUUUCAAGUAUCUGCCUUAUCAACUUUCGAUGGUAGUGUAUCUGACUACCAUGGUGGUGACGGGUAACGGAGGAUAAGGGUUCGACUCCGGAGAAGGGGCCUGAGAAAUGGCCACUACGUCUAAGGAUGGCAGCAGGCGCGCAAAUUACCCACUCUCAGAAUGAGGAGGUAGUGACGAGAAAUAACGAGACCGUUCUCUACGAGGCCGGUCAUCGGAAUGGGUACAAUUUAAACCCUUUAACGAGUAUCUAUGAGAGGGCAAGUCUGGUGCCAGCAGCCGCGGUAAUUCCAGCU
rnacentral:rRNA from 1 species